GAUGAACGCUGGCGGCGUGCUUAACACAUGCAAGUCGAACGAACUUUUUCGGAAGUGAGUGGCGGACGGGUGAGUAACGCGUGAGUAUCUGCCCUAAGGUGGGGGACAACCAUUGGAAACGAUGGCUAAUACCCCAUAUGCCGAGAGGUGAAAGGUUAACUGCCUUGGGAUGAGCUCGCGUCUGAUUAGCUAGAUGGUGGGGUAACGGCCUACCAUGGCGACGAUCAGUAGCUGUUCUGAGAGGAUGAUCAGCCACACUGGGACUGAGACACGGCCCAGACUCCUACGGGAGGCAGCAGUGGGGAAUUUUCCGCAAUGGGCGAAAGCCUGACGGAGCAACGCCGCGUGAGGGAGGAAUGUCUUUGGAUUGUAAACCUCUUUUCUCUAGGAAGAUAAUGACGGUACUAGAGGAAUCAGCAUCGGCUAACUCCG
rnacentral:rRNA from 1 species